GAGGAUAUAGCUUAAAUGGUAGAGUGCAUGCUUAGCGUGCACAAGGUCCUGGGUUCAAUUCCCAGUACCUCCU
rnacentral:tRNA from 1 species